GGGGAUCUAGCUCAAAUGGUAGAGCGCACGCUUAGCAUGUGUGAGGCACAGGGAUCGAUACCCUGGUUCUCCA
rfam:Smittium culicis strain GSMNP scaffold-2695, whole genome shotgun sequence.